GAGGAAAAUUUAAGAGAGUAGCUCUCACAUGUCUUUAACAGCAAAGGUGAGGCUGCUCAGAGGAAGGUCAUGUGACGAAGACGGCGGCCGAAGAAGGAAUUUCUCCACGAAAGCUCCAUGUUCUGAGUCUAUCGCCAUCCCUCUCUGCCACUGCUGUCUCAGACAAUCUCAGCCUCAGCAGCAGCUCCACAUUUUGAUGACAGAAGUGAACAGCUCUCCACUCAUCAAUCAUGCGAUGAUCACUUCAGCCAGUGAGGACAAAUAUUAUUCCUUAAAAAAAAUCUGUGUUGAUAAGGCGGUCACUUCAGCCAGUGAGGACAAACUGGAAAUUCUGGAGGUUGCUUAAGUCCUCACUGUGGUCGUUAGACAUUGAGAAUCGAUAAAGUGGUACUUAAAAGCAGGAAAAACAACUUACCAUAAAAUCUGAAACAUCAAAUGUGUUUAAAAGGUCGUACCCAGUGCACAAGGCUCCCGCUUUACGCAGGGUUUGGGAGAGGUGAAUGUCGGCUAGCCUUACCCCCAUUUAUGGAGAGGCUGCUCUCAAGUCUCGAACCCGAGACCUACCGCUCAUGGGCGAAGGCACUUGCCAUCGCACCAAGUGCGACCUCAAAUGUGUUUGGUAAAAAAAAAAAAAGCUUAUUUAAAAAAUUGUUGUCAAUGACAACAAAAAAGCAUAGAAAAGCAGAAGUAGGAUCUACUAUGCUUUAAAAUUAUCUAAGCAUAGUGAACAGUGGCCAUUUGAUGAAAUUUUCAAAUAGCAAGUAUACCCCUGCCUUUUUUACAAAAUAACAAUCGUUGCCCGUGGAAUAUUAUCUUUGACAACUAUUAUAGGGAAUUAUUAUUAGCAUUCCAAAAGUCUCAUUUGACAUUCCAAACUUUCUAUAAUUAGAAAGAAAAAAAACACUUGUGAGGAGUGUAGAAUGAGAUUUUUGGAAUGCUAAUAACAGUUCCGUUAUUAUAUCACAUUAAAUGCCAUAUCAUUUUUAGUAUUUAACAUAUUCACAUUAAUUUUAUAUAAAAGUUGACAUAACACUCAGAUACUGUUUUCUUUUUUUUUACAAGCACUUUUACAAUAAAAGUUUAUUAAACGCUUAACAACUUUAUUUUACAGCUGUUCUGCUGUUUUUUUUUUUUUUUUUAACAUAACAAUACCAAACUAGCAAAACUUACAAGCACAUAUAUCAGGAAAAGAUUAUCAGAGUCUGCAACUCAAAAUCUUGUAGUCAACAUUCACAACUUCCCGACGUGUUCUUUGAGAGUGUCGUAAAGAGUCUCGACAAGAUUGAGCAGGAACCCGUCCGAGCCAUGCUUUGCCAGCAAGGAAACUGAAACGGGUAGGUUAUCGUACAUCCCUAGUGGUAUAGUCACCUGCAAAUACGUAGAAAUACGUUACAAACUUUCACAAGAUAUUUGCAGUCAUUGAAGAAGAAAAAGAUCGUAGUCAUAUACAAACAUGGAGACUGGAGAGGGGGAGGGAGAAGUAGAGAUAGAUAGAGGGCUUAAAAACCUGGCAGAAUCCGGAAACUACGGCAAUGGAUAGGAAGCUGAAAGCCCUGGCACGAAAAUUGUGCAGUGUUGUAGGAUCUGUUUGCAGCUUUGGUGGAUCCCCUGGAACUGUAGGCAUUGCGAGGACACCGAAAUCCUGAUGAGUAAAUCAAAGAGAUUGUGUUAUGUAUUCAUUAGAGACGGUAUGUAUCAUCCAUUUCUUCUGCUAAAGGUACCUUUUUAAGAGCAAAAGGAAGGAAGAUGCUAACAAAUAACAGUUUGUCAAAGAUGAGAGAGAGAGAGAGAGAGAGAGAGAGUACCCCGAGAAGGUCAGUAAGAGCAGCACGCAAUUCAGUCAUCACGGAGUGACAAACAUCGACAUUUUCAUCUGUUGACCGAACAGCUGCCCAUAUACGUUCUCCUAUCCCGGGACCUAAGUCAGGUCUGACUGUACUAACCCAUUCACCAUGGUUGCUCUUGAAUUCAUACCUAUUCUAUCAACCAAAUGAUAAAUUUGGAAUUCAUUAUGAACGACAAAUUUGAAUUUUGUUGAUCAAGAUGAAGAUGCAGAAAUUAUCACACUCAUAUUCAAGUCGACCAAAUCAGCACCUUUCAAGUAGACGAUCGGCGGUUGAUAGGGCUGCCAAUGACGGUAUAAUGUACUCUUCACUUGGAUUUCCUUUAUCCAAGAAAGAGUUCAAGCUUGGAACUUUGUCCUUGACAACGUCCCCAAGGUUAGCAUGUUUUAUAACAUGACCUGCAUUUGCAGAUAUAACGAGUGAGCUUCUUCUUUCCAUGUUAUGAACUUGUCCCUAUCUCAGCAGGAGACCUAAUUUAAUUAAGUGAAUGAUGAUUUUCAGGUAAUAAUCUGUCUACUGAAUUUAAUGGUCUAUUUGUGUCUUAAAAUGCGAGGGAAUUAUAAAUUGGACUCGAUUCAUGUCAAUCAAAGUACUUACAGCAAGAGAUGAAACAGAUGAAUAUGGUCAAAUCACUUACCCCCAAAUAACUUCUCAACUGAGUCAACAAGUACUUGUUUCACUCGACUGCUUGGAACACUUGAAAGCUGGAAACAGUCUUCUGCGAUGAUUAACUGAGUGGGUACGACAGGACCUGUAUCAGGCAAUUGGAGUAACACUCGUCCAACUCUAUUCAAAAUCGCAGGAUCCCUUGCAAACCAUCCUAUAUCAGAAGUUAGUGUCAAAAGGAUGGUUUCCAAUUGCUUAGAGUGCUAGAUAGAUCAUUCGCAUAGGUAAAGCUUUCGAAGUACUAUAUUUCCAAUUGCAGAAAAACUUAAACACAGAAGUGUCACAAGUAAUAAUCAACAAAAAUGCAGAAUGCCUGGAUGGCAUAUGAAUCAUUAAAGCGGAAGAAGUUAGCUACAUUCUAGCAACAGAAAUAGAGAUUUCCUGUUAUAUAAAAUCGAGGGAAAACUGAAACAUGACUUUUUUUGUCACAACCAGAAAUCAAUUUCCUAAGCCAGUCUGCAAUAUAAAAUGUCAUUGAUUUCUCACCCACUGUAUCGAAACUUUGUGCCAGGGGAGUAACUCCAGAGGUAGAAAUGACACCAUGAGAUGGCCGAAACCCAAAAACUCCACAAUAUGAAGCAGGAACUCUUAUACUUCCUCCAGUGUCGGUUCCUGAAAAAUUGAGGGUCUUGUGCUUCAACAUAAAGAAGCAAGAAAACAACAAAAGCACGCAUGGAAUAACCUACCUAAGGAAAAAUCUGCGAGGCCUACAGCUACGGCAACAGCAGAACCGCUAGAAGAGCCUCCAGGCACCCUAUCUGGUGCGCACGGAUUUCUGGGUGUGCCAUAAUGCUUGUUCUCUCCAUUUAUACUGCCAACAACACAAUGCUAAAUUCAAGAGCAUUUCUGUCGAGUGAUUUUCAAAUGUACAAAAUCAUGAUAUAAAUACUUUUACCAUGAAAAGAGACUUGUAGUGAUCAAUCAUUUGUGAAAAUUUUUGCAAACAAAACAGUAAUGCAAGUUUAAGCAUGUGAAGUAAGACAAGGCCUCUUUGCACUAACCAGUAUGCCAUUUCAUCCAUGACAGUUAUACCAAUACUUGUGGCACCUCCACUCAAUAUUGCUGAAACAGCCGGAGCUGUUGACUCAGCAGCCGGGUGAGUCCUCGCCCAAUCAGGAUUCCCAAACCCAGUCACACGUCCAGCCACAUCAAAUCUGCCUCCAAGUUCAAAUUUCAGUGAACACAAAAAUGUUUUGGCUUUUACACACACACAUGAAAAAAAUUGCACAAUUCAACACCCUGAAGUUCACCAUCAUGGUUCCACAAGCACACAUAAAACCACACAAAGCAUGAAGAUUUAUUAAAACGCUUCUCUGAAAAAGCACUUCUCAUCAUAAGUGCUUUUGCUGGAAGUAUUUUUACUUUAGUAGAAGUAAAUCCACCACAAAGUUUCAUUAAAAAUUCAAGUGCUUCAGAAAAAAAACAUUUGAACAUUUUUUCUGAAAGUGCUUUUAGUCAUUCUCAAAUGAAGAAACGCCCAAUCACAGAAACAACACACAAAAUUGGGUUCUUGGAGACAACUGAUUGAACCCAAAUCCGAAAUCAGCAAAUAAGCACAAAAGCAUAUGAAUUUUAAGUAUAACACUACAAAAUUUAAAGCAUCCACCAAAUAGAAGAGUGAUAUAAUUGAGGAAAAUUUAAGAGAGUAGCUCUCACAUGUCUUUAACAGCAAAGGUGAGGCCGCUCAGAGGAAGGUCAUGUGAUGAAGACGGCGGUCGGAGAAGGAAUUUCUCCACGAAAGCUCCAUGAUCUGAGUCUAUCGCCAUCUCUCUCUGCCACUGCUGUCUCAGACAAUCUCAGCCUCAGCAGCAGCUCCACAUUUGACGACAGAAGUGAAAAGCUCUCCACUCAUCAAUCAUACGAUGAUCGUAUUCAAAUGCAAGGACAAAUAUUAUUCCUUAAAAAAAUAUGUUGUUGAUAAGGUGGUAACUUCAGUCAGUGAGGGCAAAGUGGAAAUUCUGGAGGUAGCUUAAGUCCUCACUAUGGUCCUUAGACUUUGAGAAUUGAUACAAAUGGUCUUUAAAUUUCUCCACCGUAAAUUAUUUUGCUCUAAAAAAUUUGUCAAUAUCAUCGUUGAGUGGUUGGGUUGAUUAGACAAAAUAUCAAAGAAAGACAAUUCAAGGACCGCUUCUAUCGGUUUUCAUUAUCAUGAUCAAAGUGAGGGGUUUUGCCAAAGUCAUGAACUAUUUUGACUAAAACCCUAAAAAAAAAAGGGAAUUGUUAUUGGCUCUCCAAAAAUCUCAUUCUAUACUCCAACUUUCUAUAUUUGGAAAGAAAACUACACUUCUGAUGAGUGUAGAAUAAGAUUCUUGGAGUGUUAAUAACACUUCCCAAAAAAUAAAACAUAUUCUAUGAAAAUAUUGUGAAUUUCUUAGCUUAUGGAUCCAACGCAAGUACACAAUGUAUUAGGGUUUUUAUCACAAAUGAUCCCUGAGAUUGAUCAAACUCAUUAUUUUGAUCCCUCACUUUCAAAAUCAAUCAAUGUCGUCUCUAACCUUCACUACCAAAUAUCAAUUGGGUCAUUCCGUUAAGAUUUUGUUAACUAUUCUGUUAGUUUAUAUGCGGGGCCCACAAUUUCAAUGAAAUUGUGACAUGUAGAUUACACAAAAUAAGGAUUUUUAUCGCAAAUGGUCCCUAACAUUGAUCUAACUCCUCAUUUUGGUAUCUGAGUUUCAAAAAUUAAUAAAUUUGGUCAUUGACUUUCAAUACCGCAUGUUAAUUUAAUCAUUCCGUUAAAGUUUCGUCAAUAUUCUUUUUCCCACUAAUUCAAUCAUAUGACGUCACGUGAAUUAACUAUAAGAAAUUUUUUUUUAAAGAUUUAAAACUAAAAGUAAAAUAAGAGACUAAAAACCAAUACUAAAAGAAAGAAAAAAGUCAUCGUCAUCUUCAUCAGGUAUGCUAAAAAAGAAAAUAAAGGCACCAUGACACUAUUAAAGUUCUUGGCCUCCUAAACUUACUCUUCAUUAUCUCCAGUUGGUUAUAAUCCUAUCAACUUUAAAUUGAAUUUGGAUUCGAUUUUAUCAAAUUUAGAUUGAAUUUUUUUCAAUUGGGGUUGUGGGAUGUGAGAAAUAUCAACGCAGAAUACUCGUAUGUUGGUUCAAUCUUAAAAAAAAAAAAAAAUUCUUAUAGUUAAUCCACGUGGAGCCAUAUUGAUGAAAUUUUAAUGAAAUGACUAAAUUGAUGUGCGAUAGUGAAAGUCAGGGAUCAAAUUCAUAAAUUUUUGAAACUUAGGGACCAAAAUGAGGGGUUGGACCAAUGUCAGUGACCAUUUGCGAUAAAAACUUUAAUUUUGUGUAAUCCACAUGUCACUAUUUCACUAGAUUUGUGGGUUCCACUUACAAACUAACAUAAUAGUUGACGGAAUUUUAACGGAAUGACCAAAUUGAUGUGGGGUAGUGAAUAUCAUGGACGACAUUAAUUGAUUUUGAAAGUAAGUCUCACUUACAAACUAACAGAAUAGUUGAAGGAAUCUUAACGGAAUGACCAAAUUGAUGUAGGGUAGUGAAUGUCAUGGACGACAUUAAUUGAUUUUGAAAGUAAGCGACCAAAAUGAUGAAUUUGAUCAAUUUUAUGGACCAUUUGUGAUAAAAACUCCAUUGUAUUAUCAAUGGAAACAAAAUUUCAAGUGGCAGUUCCAUACAUAUGCAGGCGAACUUUCAUUCGCUGCGGUCGUAAUAAAAAAAUAUGUACAAAUAAGGGAUCACAGGUCUGUGCUCGGCGAGUUCCACCUCUGCUGGCUUUGUAGUUACUCCCGGAGCACUCCAACCUAAGCGUUGCAUGCACACAGCAUCGUAUGCUUCAAUUUUCAAACCCGAAGCAAGAAAUAGUUCCACCUCGUUUACAAACCGAUUGGUUCUUGCUGCCAGGAAAGGCCCUGCUGCAUCACAGGUUGAUUCUUGAAAUUCUCUUUGUUUUUCUUCAGGUGCCGUCGUUCGACCUUUUUGUUCAUCCCUUGAAAAUGCAUGGUUCAGGUAAAAGUUCAGACAAAGAGUUCAUUGAAAUUUUGCACGUUUUCAAGCACUUCAAUGUUGUUCUUUCUCAUAUCUUGUCCAAAAGAACUCUAAAGACGGGAACUAACUUUGGAACGUUAUUCGAUUUUUCAAUUGAAGAUCUAGGGAGUAACACAUAUCACCUCGUCAGGGAUGAAUUAAUCACGCCAUGUAUGUGGUGCAUGACGAUGUCAACAUCUUCCUCCUACAAGCAGCAACAGAAGCAAGUUAGCUAUAAAGAGUCACCCGAAUAACUAUAACAUGCAUGUUCUGCUUUGGUCGUCAUAGAUAAAGAAAGACCACACGCACAAUUUUAUGAUUAGCUAAUUGGACUAGGUGAUCCAGUUCAUUGCCAAGCCAAAGAAACAAAAAUGAAACUCUGUAAGAUGUUGAAAUGUCCCCGUGUCACCACGAAAGAAAAUUUAUGCAGAAGAAGCCAAGACCUGCAUCAGAGCUUGGAUUUCCCUUCUCCACCAACUUUGGAGCCAGCGGUUUGGCUGAAGAUACUUGCUGGACUUCCGAUACCGUGGUAUGUCAAAUAUGUCACUUAAGAAAACUAAUUAAGAAACAAAGUUAACCAACUGGAAGGCAUGUAAACAGUGACGUCGUUUCUCAGGGAUAUAAAAUGAGAAACAACACAACCAAUAAAAUGACAAGAAGCACAAAACCUGGUUCAGUGUAAUAACACUGCAAUCUAUGCUUGUGCUCCUUUGAUAAGAAAAAGCUGCAGAUACCAUUAACAAAAAACGAUUUACAAAGAGGGUUACAUAUUUUCGAAAACGAUUUACAAAACUUUAUUUUUCAGGCCUAUCCACCCUUGUUUUUCUCCCCUCCAGGAAUUUUAGUGGCAGAGGUUUUGUGACGACGAGGAUUGUUGGUAAAAGCUGUUAUGUAGGAGACUUCUCCUUUCAGUAUAAAUGUCAUUACUCUUCUUUUAUUGUAAUUUAUUUAUGCUCUGACAUCAUUUGUGUGAAAUGGGUUCAAUCCCGCUCAUAUGCGCAGUCUAAAUUAGUUACUUUUAGGUUUUAAUUUAUUCACAAUUUUCACUUCACUACAUUUUAUGGCUUCGUCACCUCUGAGUGUCGGCUAGUACAUCACGAUUUGGGUGUCUGCGUGGACAUUCCGAGUCGGAAUGUGUCAAAAAUGUACCAUAUAAAGGCUACCAAUUUUUUGUAUGUAAAAUAUCAUUAAUAUAAGUAAUGACAAAUCAUGGGUUUUAUUUAAAUAGUUUAUUUUAAUGACAAAUCAUGUCAUUAAGAUAAAUUAUACUUUUUUAUAUAAGUAUAAUUUAUUUUUUUAUAUUUUCAAUCCCACAAAUCAUGAAUUUUAUCUAAAAUCUCAUUAAUACAAGUAACUAAAAAUAUCAAAAUAUCAAAUUUUAAUUUGAAAUUAUAAUAACCUACAUAGAAAUUUAUUAUUGUAUUAAUUUCAGGAACUUCAAUAAAAAACUGAAAACCAACAAGGUUUCAAUUGGAUUAAAAUUGAGGGACCAUUGAUACAAUUUUUCUUAUUUGAUUUUUCAUAUUUGCCCCUUAAUUUGGCCUCAUGUGCAUAGCAUGUGACUUAUUUUGGCAUAAGUUCUAAUGUAGUUGACAAAAAAAAAAAAUCAUAUCUGCACGUUUUGAUGAGUUUAGAGACCAAUGUUAAUGAAUUUUUAGUUGAUGGAUCGUUGCUCCUAUUAAGUUAAAGUUGAGAAAUUAUUGCUACAAUUUCCUCUACAAUUAAAGCUAAUAUAUAAGCUUGAUAGCUUGCUCAUGGACCAUACACAAGGAUAAAACGAGGAAAAUUCCUAUCUAUUUUAAACCUUAUGACUGAUUUGGGAUUGUGGUUCUUUUAUAAAAAACAGCUUAUGAAAAAAUCUGGAACAUCAAAUGUAUUUGGUACCAAAAAAAAAAGUGCUUAUUUAAAAAAUUGUUGUCAAUGACAACAGAAAAGUAAAGAAAAGCAGAAGCAGGGUCUACUAUGUUUCUAAAAAUUUCUAAGCAUGGUGAACAGUGAGAAUUUAAUGAAAUUUUCAAAUGGCAACUGCAUAUUUUACAAAAUAACAAUCGUUGUCCGUGCAAUAUUCUCUUUGGCAAUUAUUAUAUCACAUUAAAUGUCAUAUCAUUUUUAGUAUUUAACAAAUUCACAUCAAUUAUAUAUAUAAAAGUUUACAAAACACUCAGAUACUGUUUUAUUUUUUUACAAGCACUUUUACAAUAAAAGUUUAUCAAACGCUCAACAACUUUAUUUUACAACUGUUUAUUCUCAAAAUACUGCAGAAACAAUUUAAAAAAAAAAAAAAACAAAACAUAACAACACCAAACUAGCAGAACUUACAAGCACAUGUAUUAGGAAAAGAUUAUCAGAAUCUGCAACUCAAAAUCUUGUAGUCAACAUUCACAACUUCCCGGCGUGUUCUUUGAGAGUGCCGUAAAGAGUCUCCACAAGAUUGAGCAGGAAUCCAUCCGAGCCAUGCUUUGCCAGCAAGGAAACUGAAACAGGUAGGUUAUCGCACAUCCCUAGUGGUAUACUCACCUGCAAAUACGUAGAAAUAAGUUACUAACUUUCGCAAGAUACUUGCAGUCAAUGACGAAGAAAAAGAUUGUAACAUGUCGUAUACAAACAUGGAAAGGGGGAGGGAGAGGUAGAGAUAGAUAGAGGGCUUAAAAACCUGGCAGAAUCCGGAAACUACGGCAAUGGAUUGGAAGCUGAAAGCCCGGGCACGAAAAGCGUCCAGUAUACUAGGAUCUGUUUGCAGCUUUGGUGGAUCCCCUGGAACUGUAGGCAUUGCGAGGACACCGAAAUCCUGAUGAGUAAUUCAAAGAGAUUGUGUUACGUAUUCAUCAGAGACAGUAUUUCUUCUGCUAAAAGUUUCGUUUUAAGAGCAAAAGGAAGGAAGAUGCUAACAAAUAACAGUUUGUCAGUCUCUCUACUCUAACAAAACGAACUCGUUUGAUAUGAAGUGACGGAUUCCUAAAAUGAACUUUAGCGUGUGCAAAGAUGUGAGAGAGAGAGAGAGAGAGAGUACCCCGAGAAGUUCAGUAAGAGCAGCACGCAAUUCAGUCAUCACGGAGUGACAAACAUCGACAUUUUCAUCUGUUGACCGAACGGCUGCCCAUAUACGUUCUCCUAUCCCGGGACCUAAGUCAGGUCUGACUGUACUAACCCAUUCACCAUGGUUGCUCUUGAAUUCAUACCUAUUCUAUCAACCAAAUAAUAAAUUUGGAAUUCAUUAUGUACGACAAAUUUAAAUUUUGUUAAUCAAGGUGAAGAUGCAGAAAUUAUCACACUCAUAUUCAAGUCCACCAAAUCAGCACCUUGCGAGAAGAUGAAAGGCGGUUGAUAGGGCUGCCAAAGACGGUAUAAUGUACUCUUCACUUGGAUUUCCUUUAUCCAAGAAAGAGUUCAAGCUUGGAACUUUGUCCUUGACAACAUCCCCGAGGUUAGCAUGUUUUAUAACUUGACCUGCAUUUGCAGAUAUAACGAGUGAGCUUCUUCUUUCCAUGUUGUGAGCUUGUCACUAUCUCAGCAGGAGACCCAAUUUAAUUAAUUGAUUAAUUUUCAGUUAAUAAUCUGUCUAUUGAACAUAAUGGCCAAUUUGUGUCUUAAAACGUGGGGGAAUUAUAAAUUGGACUCGAUUCAUGUCAAUCAAAAUACUUACAGCUAGAGAUGAAACAGAUGAAUACGGUCAAAUCACUUACCCCCAAAUAACUUCUCAACUGACUCAACAAGUACUUGUUUCACUCGACUGCUUGGAACACUUGAAAUCUGGAAACAGUCUUCUGCGAUGAUUAACUGAGUGGGUACGACAGGACCCGUAUCAGGCAAUUGGAGUAACACUCGUCCAACUCUAUUCAAAAUCGCAGGAUUCCUUGCAAACCAUCCUAUAUCAGAAGUUAGUGUCAAAAGGAUGGUUUCCGAUUGCUUAGAGUGCUAGAUAGAUCAUUCACAUAGGUAAAGCUUUCGAAGUACUAUAGUUCCAAUUGCAGAAAAACUUAAACACAGAAGUGUCACGAGUAAUAAUCAACAAAGAUGCAGAAUGCACGGAUGGCAUAUGAAUCAUUGAAGCGGAGGAAGUUAGCUACUUUCUAGAAAUAAAGAGAGAUAUUUCCUGUUACAUAAAAUCAAGGGGAAAAAACCGAAAACAUGACCUUUUUUUUGUCACGACCAGAAAUCUAUUUCCUAAGCCAGUCUGCAAUAUAAAAUGUCAUUGAUUUCUCACCCACUGUAUCGAAACUUUGUGCCAGAGGAGUAACUCCAGAAGUAGAAAUGACACCAUGAGAUGGCCGAAACCCAAAAAUUCCACAAUGCGACGCAGGAAUUCUUACACUUCCUCCAGUGUCAGUUCCUGAAAAAGUGAGGGUCUUGUGCUUCAACAUAAAGAAGCAAGAAAACAACAAAAGCACACUAGGAAUAACUUACCUAAGGAAAAAUCUGCGAGGCCUACAGCUACGGCAACAGCAGAACCGCUAGAAGCCUCCAGGCACCCUAUCUGGAGCGCACGGAUUUCUGGGUGUGCCAUAAUGCUUGUUCUCUCCAUUCAUACUGCCAACAACACAGUGCAAAAUUCAAGGGCGUUUUCUGUCGAGUGAUUUUCGAAUGUCCAAAAUCAUUAUAUAAAUACUUUUACCACGAAAAGAGACUUGUAGCGAUCAAUCAUUUGUCAAAAUUUUUGGGAACAAAACAGUAAUGCAAGUUUAAGCAUGUGAAGUAAGACAAGGCCUCUUUGUACUAACCAGUAUGCCAUUUCAUCCAUGACAGUUAUACCAAUACUUGUGGCACCUCCACUCAAUAUUGCUGAAACAGCCGGAGCUGUUGAUUCAGCAGCCGGGUGAGUCCUCGCCCAAUCAGGAUUCCCAAACCCAGUCACACGUCCAGCCACAUCAAAUCUGCCUCCAAGUUCAAAUUUCAGUGAACACAAAAAUGUUUUGGCUUUUACACACACAUGAAAAAAAUUGCACAAUUCAACACCCUGAAGUUCACCAUCAUGGUUCCACAAGCACACAUAAAACCACACAAAGCAUGAAGAUUUAUUAAAACGCUUCUCUGAAAAAGCACUUCUCAUCAUAAGUGCUUUUGCUGGAAGUAUUUUUACUUUAGUAGAAGUAAAUCCACCACAAAGUUUCAUUAAAAAUUCAAGUGCUUCAGAAAAAAAACAUUUGAACUUUUUUUUCUGUAAGUGUUUUUAGUCAUUCUCAAAUGAAGAAACGCCCAAUCACAGAAACAACACACAAAAUUGGGUUCUUGGAGACAACUGAUUGAACCCAAAUCCGAAAUCAGCAAAUAAGCACAAAAGCAUAUGAAUUUUAAGUAUAACACUACAAAAUUUAAAGCAUCCACCAAAUAGAAGAGUGAUAUAAUUGAGGAAAAUUUAAGAGAGUAGCUCUCACAUGUCUUUAACAGCAAAGGUGAGGCCACUCAGAGGAAGGUCAUGUGAUGAAGACGGCGGUCGGAGAAGGAAUUUCUCCACGAAAGCUCCAUGAUCUGAGUCUAUCGCCAUCUCUCUCUGCCACUGCUGUCUCAGAUAAUCUCAGCUUCAGCAGCUGCUCCACAUUUGACGACAGAAGUGAAUAGCUCUCCACUCAUCAAUCAUACGAUGAUCCUAUUCAAAUGCAAGGACAGAUUAUUCCUUAAAAAAAUCUGUUGUUGAUAGGUGGUCACUUCAGUCAGUGAGGGCAAAGUGGAAAUUCUGG
rnacentral:lncRNA from 1 species